ACAGCCCCGUACACAAAAAUGCACAUGCUGUGAGCUCGAUGAGUAGGGCGGGACACGUGGUAUCCUGUCUGAAUAUGGGGGGACCAUCCUCCAAGGCUAAAUACUCCUGACUGACCGAUAGUGAACCAGUACCGUGAGGGAAAGGCGAAAAGAACCCCGGCGAGGGGAGUGAAAAAGAACCUGAAACCGUGUACGUACAAGCAGUGGGAGCACGCUUAGGCGUGUGACUGCGUACCUUUUGUAUAAUGGGUCAGCGACUUAUAUUCUGUAGCAAGGUUAACCGAAUAGGGGAGCCGAAGGGAAACCGAGUCUUAACUGGGCGUUAAGUUGCAGGGUAUAGACCCGAAACCCGGUGAUCUAGCCAUGGGCAGGUUGAAGGUUGGGUAACACUAACUGGAGGACCGAACCGACUAAUGUUGAAAAAUUAGCGGAUGACUUGUGGCUGGGGGUGAAAGGCCAAUCAAACCGGGAGAUAGCUGGUUCUCCCCGAAAGCUAUUUAGGUAGCGCCUCGUGAAUUCAUCUCCGGGGGUAGAGCACUGUUUCGGCAAGGGGGUCAUCCCGACUUACCAACCCGAUGCAAACUGCGAAUACCGGAGAAUGUUAUCACGGGAGACACACGGCGGGUGCUAACGUCCGUCGUGAAGAGGGAAACAACCCAGACCGCCAGCUAAGGUCCCAAAGUCAUGGUUAAGUGGGAAACGAUGUGGGAAGGCCCAGACAGCCAGGAUGUUGGCUUAGAAGCAGCCAUCAUUUAAAGAAAGCGUAAUAGCUCACUGGUCGAGUCGGCCUGCGCGGAAGAUGUAACGGGGCUAAACCAUGCACCGAAGCUGCGGCAGCGACACUGUGUGUUGUUGGGUAGGGGAGCGUUCUGUAAGCCUGUGAAGGUGUACUGUGAGGUAUGCUGGAGGUAUCAGAAGUGCGAAUGCUGACAUAAGUAACGAUAAAGCGGGUGAAAAGCCCGCUCGCCGGAAGACCAAGGGUUCCUGUCCAACGUUAAUCGGGGCAGGGUGAGUCGACCCCUAAGGCGAGGCCGAAAGGCGUAGUCGAUGGGAAACAGGUUAAUAUUCCUGUACUUGGUGUUACUGCGAAGGGGGGACGGAGAAGGCUAUGUUGGCCGGGCGACGGUUGUCCCGGUUUAAGCGUGUAGGCUGGUUUUCCAGGCAAAUCCGGAAAAUCAAGGCUGAGGCGUGAUGACGAGGCACUACGGUGCUGAAGCAACAAAUGCCCUGCUUCCAGGAAAAGCCUCUAAGCAUCAGGUAACAUCAAAUCGUACCCCAAACCGACACAGGUGGUCAGGUAGAGAAUACCAAGGCGCUUGAGAGAACUCGGGUGAAGGAACUAGGCAAAAUGGUGCCGUAACUUCGGGAGAAGGCACGCUGAUAUGUAGGUGAAGUCCCUCGCGGAUGGAGCUGAAAUCAGUCGAAGAUACCAGCUGGCUGCAACUGUUUAUUAAAAACACAGCACUGUGCAAACACGAAAGUGGACGUAUACGGUGUGACGCCUGCCCGGUGCCGGAAGGUUAAUUGAUGGGGUUAGCGCAAGCGAAGCUCUUGAUCGAAGCCCCGGUAAACGGCGGCCGUAACUAUAACGGUCCUAAGGUAGCGAAAUUCCUUGUCGGGUAAGUUCCGACCUGCACGAAUGGCGUAAUGAUGGCCAGGCUGUCUCCACCCGAGACUCAGUGAAAUUGAACUCGCUGUGAAGAUGCAGUGUACCCGCGGCAAGACGGAAAGACCCCGUGAACCUUUACUAUAGCUUGACACUGAACAUUGAGCCUUGAUGUGUAGGAUAGGUGGGAGGCUUUGAAGUGUGGACGCCAGUCUGCAUGGAGCCGACCUUGAAAUACCACCCUUUAAUGUUUGAUGUUCUAACGUAGACCCGUGAUCCGGGUUGCGGACAGUGUCUGGUGGGUAGUUUGACUGGGGCGGUCUCCUCCUAAAGAGUAACGGAGGAGCACGAAGGUUGGCUAAUCCUGGUCGGACAUCAGGAGGUUAGUGCAAUGGCAUAAGCCAGCUUGACUGCGAGCGUGACGGCGCGAGCAGGUGCGAAAGCAGGUCAUAGUGAUCCGGUGGUUCUGAAUGGAAGGGCCAUCGCUCAACGGAUAAAAGGUACUCCGGGGAUAACAGGCUGAUACCGCCCAAGAGUUCAUAUCGACGGCGGUGUUUGGCACCUCGAUGUCGGCUCAUCACAUCCUGGGGCUGAAGUAGGUCCCAAGGGUAUGGCUGUUCGCCAUUUAAAGUGGUACGCGAGCUGGGUUUAGAACGUCGUGAGACAGUUCGGUCCCUAUCUGCCGUGGGCGCUGGAGAACUGAGGGGGGCUGCUCCUAGUACGAGAGGACCGGAGUGGACGCAUCACUGGUGUUCGGGUUGUCAUGCCAAUGGCACUGCCCGGUAGCUAAAUGCGGAAGAGAUAAGUGCUGAAAGCAUCUAAGCACGAAACUUGCCCCGAGAUGAGUUCUCCCUGACUCCUUGAGAGUCCUGAAGGAACGUUGAAGACGACGACGUUGAUAGGCCGGGUGUGUAAGCGCAGCGAUGCGUUGAGCUAACCGGUACUAAUGAACCGUGAGGCUUAACCUUACAACGCCGAAGGUGUUU
rnacentral:rRNA from 1 species